rnacentral:rRNA from 1 species
UACGUAGGGACCAAGCGUUGUUCGGAUUUACUGGGCGUAAAGGGCGCGUAGGCGGCUCAAUAAGUCACUUGUGAAAUCUCCGGGCUUAACUCGGAGCGGCCAAGUGAUACUGUUGUGCUAGAGUGCAGAAAGGGCAAUCGGAAUUCUCGGUGUAGCGGUGAAAUGCGUAGAUAUCGAGAGGAACACCUGAGGCGAAGGCGGGUUGCUAGGCUGACACUGACGCUGAGGCGCGAAAGCUAGGGUAGCAAACGGG